GGUGGGGGGAGGUUUUGUUUGUGCUCUCUUUGUUUGUUCCCUCUCUGGACGGAGAAAAAGACCAGGCAGGUAAAACAUCUCCUGAAAACAUACGUGAAAUGAUACAUCUAAAAUUACAGAAAUUUGCCUGGGCUGAGUAUGGCCACCUCUGGAAGAAGAGUUCUUGGGGGCAGUGAGUAAAGGGACCUUAUGUCUUUGCUGGAGGGGAAUGAACUUCUUCAUUGUUGCUAUUACCACUGCCUGCUGGGACCCAGGAAUCUACCAUCACAUUGUUCAGCCUUCAUUGCUCUAGUCUGAGAAGAUCAAGACCAGGCAAGGACAGGGAGCCAGAUGACAUCACUACCUCUGCUGAGUUCAGCUGGAUCCUAAAUAACACUUAGAAUGUGAACUUUAGCUUCUUACUGUUAAUCCUUCCCUAGUAUAUCAGUUUUCCUUACUCACCUUAUAUCUUCCACCUCUCCCCUCUUUUUCUCUUUUUGCUAUCUGUCCAAUAAAACCUUGCCUCCAAACCUCUCCACCUCCUUCGGUCCAAUUAUGAGAUGCCAUGUGAGACAAAGAUCCAAAAUGAGGGUUACAAAAAUUAUUUAUGUAGGAAACUUAAAAUGCUGUGGGAUUCAUUACUGCAGUGUAAAUAACUCAUUCUAUAACUUUAACUUCCCUUUUCUUUAUUUCUGGUAUUUCCACAAAGGAACAUCACAUUUGUUAUAUGAGAUGAGGGAUAUUUGAAUGAGAUGCUUGCAAUACUGCUGGGAUUUAAAAAAAAAAAAGGCGGAGGGGGGCAGCGAAAACCAGUGCCUUCACGUUCUGGAAAAGUCUUCAAGACAGUGGCAAAUUAGACCACAUGCUGUAGUUUUUCUAGCAGCUAAGAUGUAAGUAAUAAAGAGUCAGAAGCUUCAUUUCCUUA